rnacentral:lncRNA from 1 species
GCCCUGAUUAUGGUACCACAUGCAUAUUUGCAUUUAUUGAGGAGUCUAAGGUGCUGUCUUAGUAGUGUUGUCAUGUCAUUUGCAUGAGUCGGUCUGAUACAUUCGGGAUGGGUUUACCUUGUUUUAUUUACAUUCGUUAUGUAUCAAUUUUGGAACUUGCUGAUAUAGCCCUACUGUUGUUUGAAUUUAUUUGAUGAGGCUUUUAUGCCAGUAUAAUUUUAUGGAGAAUUAAACAGUUAUUGUUGUUGUUUUGAUGAGAAUAUUCCGCUGCUAAAUAAAUGAUGUUUUCGAUGGAUGUGUAAUAAAUAGUUUUUAUAUUAUAUUUAGAAAUUUUGAAAAUGUAGUGUGACAUGCCCGUUGGGUUUUACUCUGAUGUUGUGUGUUUAAUUAUUAUUUAAUUACUUUUGGGUAACGGGGUGUUACAAUUGGUAUCAGAGCAAGUUGGUCCGUCCGACCAAGUAGUAGAGUCGUGUUGAGCCACCUAGGAUAGAGUGUCAACUUUAAUGUUGUUUUUGUAUUUGUUCUGAGUUGUUGUUUCUUAUGUAGAACCUUGAGAUGACUGGUAGUAGUGAUGCUGCGCUUGAGGCUGUAGCUCCAGCUGUUCAACAGCAACCGAAAGCUGAAGUUGGCAAUGAUGGAACUAGGAUGUUGGAGACUUUCUUGAGGAAUCAUCCACCAUCAUUCAAAGGUAGAUAUGAUCCUGAUGGUGCCCAGAAGUGGCUUAAGGAGGUUGAAAGAAUUUUCAGGGUCAUGCAGUGUUCAGAGGUGCAAAAGGUGCAGGAUGGAGCUGUGGUAACCUGGGCUGUGUUCAGGAAUGAGUUUCUGAGUAGGUACUUCCCGAAAGAUGUCUGAUGUAAGAAAGAGAUUGAGUUUCUGGAAUUGAAGCAGGAAGAUAUGUCCGUUACGGAGUAUGCUGCAAAAUUCGUGGAACUUGCUAAGUUCUACCCCCAUUACAGUGCGGAGACAGCUGAAUUCUCCAAGUGUAUUAAGUUUGAAAAUGGUCUGAGGGCUGAUAUCAAAAGAGCUAUUGGGUAUCAGAAGAUUAAAAUUUUCUCUAAGUUGGUAAACAGCUGCAGGAUAUAUGAGGAAGACACCAAAGCUCAUUACAAAAUGAUGAGUGAGCGAAGGGGUAAGGGACAGCAGAGUCGUCCUAAACCUUACAGCGCCCCUGCUGACAAGGGAAAGCAGAGAAUGAAUGAUGAGAGGAGGCCCAAGAGGAGAGAUGCUCCUGUUGAAAUUGUUUGUUUCAAGUGUGGUGAAAAAGGCCAUAAGAGCAAUGCUUGUGGUAGAGAUGAGAGGAAGUGUUUUAGGUGUGGUCAGAAAGGACACACACUAGCUGAAUGUAAGCGUGGGGACAUUGUUUGCUACAACUGCAACGAAGAAGGUCAUAUCAGUUCACAGUGUACUCAGUCGAAGAAGGCUAGAACCGGUGGGAAAGUGUUUGCAUUGACUGGUAUGCAGACUACUAAUGAGGACCGACUUAUCAGAGGUACUUGUUUCUUUAAUAGUACUCCUUUAAUUGCUAUUAUAGAUAUUGGUGCUACUCAUUGUUUCAUUGCUAAUGAAUGUGCUUAUAAGUUGGGUUUGGAUGUAUCUGAUAUGAAAGGAGAAAUGGUUGUUGAAACUCCAGCUAAGGGUUCAGUAACUACUUCUCUAGUUUGCUUGAGAUGUCCAUUGUCUAUGUUUGGUAGAGACUUUGUAGCCGACUUAGUUUGUUUGUCGUUGACGAGUAUGGAUGUUAUUUUUGGAAUGAAUUGGUUAGAGUAUAACCGAGUUCAUAUCAAUUGCUUUAGUAAGACGGUGCAUUUUUCUUCUGCUAAAGAAGAAGGUGAAGUUGAGUUCUUGUCUACGAAACAGAUGAAAUAGCUAGAACGUGAUGGAAUUCUGAUGUAUUCUUUAAUGGCAUAUUUGUCGUUAGAAAAUCAAGCUGAGAUUGAUAGGUUGCCAGUGGUGAAUGAAUUUCCAGAAGUGUUCCCUGAUGAGAUCCCUGAUGAGAUUUCUUAUCGUAUGUCAGCUUCUGAGUUAGCUGAAUUGAAGAAACAGUUGGAGGACUUGCUUGAUAAGAAGUUUGUAAGACCAAGUGUUUCACCUUGGGGAGUGCCGGUGUUGUUAGUUAAGAAGAAGGAUGGUAGCAUGAAAUUAUGCAUUAAUUACCGUCAGUUGAACAAAGUUACGAUAAAGAAUAGGUAUCCACUUCCGAGAAUUGAUGACUUAAUGGAUCAGUUAGUGGGUGCAAAGGUGUUCAGCAAGAUUGACUUGAGGUCAGGUUACCAUCAGAUUAAGGUGAAGGAUGAAGAUAUGCAGAAGACGGCCUUUAGGACACGAUAUGGUCAUUACGAAUACAAGGUGAUGCCUUUCGGUGUUACUAAUGCGCCUGGGGUGUUCAUGGAGUAUAUGAACCGAAUUUUCCAUGCUUUUCUGGAUAAAUUUGUGGUUGUGUUUAUUGAUGAUAUUCUGAUUUAUUCUAAGACCGAAGAGGAGCAUGCAGAGCAUCUGAAGAUUGUAUUGCAAGUGUUAAAAGAAAAGAAGUUGUAUGCUAAGUUGUCAAAGUGUAAGUUCUGGUUAAGUGAAGUGAAUUUUCUUGGGUCACAUUAUUUCUUGGUAGUGGUAUUGCAGUUGAUCCAUCGAAAGUUGAUGUAGUAUCACAAUGGGAGACUCCGAAGUCAGUGACUGAAAUCAGAAGCUUCUUGGGUUUGGCUGGUUAUUACCGCAGGUUUAUUGAGGGAUUUUCGAAGUUGGCACUUCCGUUGACUCAGUUGACCUGUAAGGGUAAGUCUUUUGUGUGGGAUGCUCAGUGUGAGAGUAGUUUCAAUGAGUUGAAGCGAAGAUUGACGACUGCCCCUAUUUUGAUUUUACCUAAGCCAGAAGAACCGUUUGUUGUUUACUGUGAUGCGUCUAAGCUGGGCUUAGGUGGUGUUUUGAUGCAAGACGGUAAGGUGGUAGCUUAUGCUUAUAGGCAAUUGAGGAUACAUGAGAAGAAUUAUCCUACGCAUGAUCUGAAGUUGGCUGCAGUGGUGUUUGUUUUAAAAAUUUGGAGGCAUUAUUUGUACGGUUCCAGAUUUGAGGUGUCCAGUGAUCAUAAAAGCUUGAAAUAUUUAUUUGAUCAGAAGGAAUUGAACAUGAGGCAGAGAAGAUGGUUAGAACUGUUGAAGGAUUAUGAUUUUGGCUUGAAUUACCAUUCUGGUAAAGCCAAUGUGGUUGCUGACGCGUUGAGCAGGAAGACAUUGCAUAUGUCUGCUGCUUUGAUGGUGAAGGAAUUUGAAUUGCUAGAACAGUUUAGGGACUUGAGUCUUGUCAGUGAGUUGACACCUCAGAGUGUGCAGUUGGGGAUGCUGAAGAUUAAUAGUGAAUUCUUGAAUAGUAUCCGAGAAGCUCAGCAAGUGGAUUUGAAGUUUGUUGAUUUAAUGAUUACUGGUAAUGACACUGAGGAUAGUGACUUCAAGGUUGAUGAUCAGGGCGUAUUGAGAUUCAGAGGAAGAAUUUGUAUUCCUGACAAUGAUGAGUUGAAAAAGUUGAUUUUAGAAGAAAGUCACAAGAGUAGCUUGAGUAUUCAUCCGGGAGCUACAAAGAUGUACCAUGAUUUGAAGAAGCUGUUUUGGUGGUCCGGUUUGAAGCGUGAUGUUGCUCAUUUUGUUUAUGCAUGCUUGACUUGUCAGAAGUCUAAGGUUGAGCAUCAGAAGCCUGCAGGGUUGUUGACACCGUUAGAUGUGCCGGAGUGGAAGUGGGAUAGCAUUUCUAUGGAUUUUGUGACGAGUUUACCGAGCACUCCGAGAGGGCAUGAUGCCAUUUGGGUUAUUGUCGACAGGUUGACGAAGUCGGCACACUUCAUUCCGAUUAAUAUCAGUUAUCCGGUAGCACAGUUGGCGGAGAUUUAUGUUUAUAACAUUGUGAAGCUACAUGGAGUACCGUCGAGUAUUGUGUCGGAUAGGGAUCCGAGGUUCACUUCUAGAUUCUGGAAGAGUUUGCAAGAUGCUUUGGGAUCGAAGUUGAGGUUGAGUUCGGCUUAUCAUCCUCAGACAGAUGGUCAGUCGGAGAGGACGAUCCAAUCAUUGGAGGAUUUGUUGAGAGUGUGUGUGCUUGAGCAAGGUGGAGCUUGGGAUAGUCACCUACCGUUGAUAGAGUUCACAUACAACAACAGUUACCAUUCGAGUAUUAGUAUGGCACCGUUCGAAGCUUUGUAUGGUCGGAGGUGCAUGACUCCUUUAUGCUGGUUUGAGUCAGGAGAGAGUGUUGUGUUGGGACCGGAUUUAGUGCAUCAGACUACUGAGAAAGUCAAGAUGAUAAGGGAAAAGGUGAAAGCGUCGCAGAGUCGACAGAAGAGUUACCAUGAUAAGCGGAUAAAGGCCCUUGAGUUUCAGGAGGGUGAUCAUGUUUUUCUGAGAGUUACUCUUAUGACGGGUGUAGGACGUGCAUUGAAGUCGAGGAAGUUGACUCCAAAGUUCAUUGGUCCGUAUUAGAUUUCAGAAAGGGUUGGAACAGUGGCAUAUAGAGUUGCUUUGCCACCACAUCUUUCGAACUUGCAUGAUGUGUUUCAUGUGUCGCAACUACGGAAGUAUGUAGCGGAUCCUUCGCAUGUUAUUCCAAGAGAUGAUGUGCAGGUUAGAGACAACCUCACAGUUGAGACCUUACCGUUGAGGAUUAAGGACCGUGAGGUGAAGAAGUUGAGAGGCAAGGACAUACCUCUAGUGAAAGUUGUUUGGGGUGGAGUAACUGGUGAGAGUUUGACUUGGGAGCUAGAGAGUAAGAUGCGGGAGUCGUACCCAGAGUUGUUUGUUUGAGGUAAGAUUUCGAGGACAAAAUUCUAUAAUUUGGGGAGAGUUGUAACGCCCUAGUCGUUAAUUUAAUUAUUUUGAUUUAUUUAGUGUCUUUAAUAUGAUUUUAAAUAAUAUUGGUGAUUUAUGUGGUGUGUUAUAUUUUAUUAUAUAGUUAAUUUAAUAAUAGUUGGAUUAAGUGAGAAAUUAAUAUUAUUUUGGAGUUUGGGGAGUUAUUAGAAUUUAUUAGAACUAAGGGGGAGUAAAAUGAAAUAAAGGGAAGUUAAGAAGGAAAUUAAGAAAGUAAGAAAGAGUCAGAAACAUUUUUUACGUGAAACUGUCAGUUUUGGGAGAAAAGGGAGAGAAGAACAAGUAGAGCCAAGUUCACCAAUUUCUGUGCAUUUCUUUCUACAAUUCUAAGGUAAGGGUGAGUUUUACUUCAGUAGUAUAGGUAUUGAAUUCUGAUAUUGAGUUUAACAGGUUUUGGUGAGAAUUGGGAUUUAUGGGUUUGUGAUGAAUUAAUGGUUUUGGGGUAGAGUUUGUUGUUCUGAUGUUAGAAUUAGUUUCUGGUUGCAUAUAGUACUCAGUUCUGCAUCUGUAAACCAAUUUGGGGAGUGAAUUGAAGGAAAAUGGGAUUUUUGGGAAAAAUCUGCAUUCUGCCCGUACAAAAGUUCAUCGCUCGCCUCGCGAGUAUCCUUGUUCGCCAAGGCGAGUGAGCAACUUCAUGGCUCGCCUCGCGAGCAGAACCACUCGUUGUGGCGAGUACCUAUGAGGAAUUCUGGAUUUUCAAAUUGUUGUUAUAAGCUGUAUUUUGGUUAGUUUAAUGUACCUACAUGAUUUUAGAGAGGACUAGAGCAAGUUUUAGAUUAAAAAGAUGAAUAGGGAGCUUAGAAUUGAAGUUUUAGUGAGAAAAAUGUCAAAACUCCCGAGAGCACCAUAUUUUCGUUCGCCUCGAGUUCGCCUCGAGUUCGCCAUGUCGAGUAACACGUUUUCUGAGUUCGCCAUAGCGAGCAGAUGUGCUCGCGAGGCGAGUUGCCCAGUUUUGAAUGCUGAUUGUUUAUUUAAUGAAUGGUGAUGAAUGGUAUUGAUGUUUAAGCAUGAUCAUGAUUAAUCGUGCAUUUUUCUGGAAUUACUGAAUUGAUUCUGAUGAUUGUUGUUGACUGAAAGUAUGCUUUUAUUGAGUCAAGUUAUACAUGGGUUGCAUUAUGGAGUUAUGAUUCAUGUACAUAUAUAUGCAUUUGGUCGAGUUGUAUGUGGAUAUACACAAGUGAGUCAGUCGCAUAUGCAUAAAAGCGAGAGGGCUUCUGCCCUGGAACGCCUUGUCGUUCAAAUCGGGAGGACUUUUGUCCUGGAACACCUUAAUGUUCAAAGCAGUGAGGACUUAUGUCCUGAUGAAUGCUUUAACCAUUCAAAACAGCGGUGAGGGCUUCGGCCCUGAUUAUGGUACCACAUGCAUAUUUGCAUUUAUUGAGGAGUCUAAGGUGUUGUCUUAGCAGUGUUGUCAUGUCAUUUGCAUGAGUCGGUCUUGUUGGUUGUAGUUGCCAUUUGAUGAUGAUGAUGUUGUUUGAUGAAUAUAUAAUUAUACAUAUAUUAUGAUGAAUUGAUUUGAUGAUGAUGAUCUGAUUAUAUUUAGG